rnacentral:pre_miRNA from 15 species
CCCGAUUCUGACAGUCCACCCGUACAUUUGUUUCCGUGCUUGACUUCAAAGCUCAAUCACGGCACAAUAUAUGGGUCGCCAGUCAUUGUAGUCGGAAUUU